UAGGGAAUCUUCNUGCAAUGGACGGAAGUCUGACCGAGCAACGCCGCGUGAGUGAAGAAGGUUUUCGGAUCGUAAAGCUCUGUUGUAAGAGAAGAACGAGUGUGAGAGUGGAAAGUUCACACUGUGACGGUAUCUUACCAGAAAGGGACGGCUAACUACGUGCCAGCAGCCGCGGUAAUACGUAGGUCCCGAGCGUUGUCCGGAUUUAUUGGGCGUAAAGCGAGCGCAGGCGGUUAGAUAAGUCUGAAGUUAAAGGCUGUGGCUUAACCAUAGUAGGCUUUGGAAACUGUUUAACUUGAGUGCAAGAGGGGAGAGUGGAAUUCCAUGUGUAGCGGUGAAAUGCGUAGAUAUAUGGAGGAACACCGGUGGCGAAAGCGGCUCUCUGGCUUGUAACUGACGCUGAGGCUCGAAAGCGUGGGGAGCAAACAGGAUUAGAUACCCUGGUAGUCCACGCUGUAAACGAUGAGUGCUAGGUGUUAGACCCUUUCCGGGGUUUAGUGCCGUAGCUAACGCAUUAAGCACUCCGCCUGGGGAGUACGACCGCAAGGUUG
rnacentral:rRNA from 1 species